rnacentral:rRNA from 1 species
AUAAAUUUCAUAAGUUGGAACUGUCGGGGAGGGGGGAAUCCCCGGAUAGUUCAUGAGUUAGCGACUUUGGCUCAGUCGCAUUCCCCCACCUUUGUAAUCUUAUGUGAGACAAGGCAGAAGGAGAGGAAGACUAGGAGAUUACGUGGCAGGUUAGGUUUGAAGGGGUUUGAAGGUGUGGAUAGCAAUGGAAUGAGCGGAGGUUUGGCGUUCUUUUGGCAUGAAUCUUGCAUUGUGGAUAUAUUGGACAAGGAAGAAAGAUAUAUUGAUGCUAUUGUAAAGCUGCAAGAGGGUGGUGAGCAAUGGAGAAUCACCUGUAUUUAUAGUGAGCCCAGGACUGAAAAUAGACACAUUAUGUGGACAAAGCUUAGAAAUCUGAAGAACAUAAAUGACCUUCCUUGGUUAGUAAUUAGGGACUUCAACGAAGCACUUUGGAGCUUUGAGCACAUGUCAGUAACUCCGAGAGCUGAGCCACACAUGGUAGAAUUCCGUGAUACCUUGGAGGUGUGUGGACUAAUUGAUCUCGGCUUCACAGGAAUCCCUUUCACAUAUGAUAAUAAACAUGGUGGACAAUCCAAUGUUUGUGUAAGGCUGGACAGAGCUGUAGCAACAAACUCCUGGAGGAAUAUGUUUGCCUAUGCUUCGGUCCAACAUGUGCCACCGCCAUGUCCUGACCACGUGGCGCUAGUACUGAGAGGGAAACCUGAUCAACAAAGGGUAGUUGGAGGGGGCGACGAUAUGAUCUGUUCUGGGAGAGAGAUCCCUCACUACCAGAAGUUGUGA